CAGUCCCUCAGGUUGAUUUGUGUGGAAAGUGAAUCCUCGCUGGCUAGGCGUUCAGCAGAGGCGCAGCAGCCGCAAAGCCAGCCAAUUAUUGCCGGUCCUCCCCUCUAACACCGCUCUCACCACCUAUACCCUCCUUUCUGUGUCGGUCUCCACUUACCCCCACCCACUUUUCCCCGCGCGGACGGAGCUGAGCGGGGGCUCCCUCCCGGGAGCGUGUCUAGAGCUCGGAGGCAGCUGGUAGGGGUUUUACAGUCCACAUGUUUUAAGUCUAACAGAAAAAAGAAUCAUGAAGUUGUGAGACAGUUCCAAGUCUGCAUCUACAUCCUCAGGUUGAUGACCUUGGGGCACCACUUUCAGAUAAAAACAUAGACCUGAAUGGCAUCAUCCAGUAUCCAAGGAAACCAUGUAUUCAAGUAGUCACUCCUUCUCUGCCUGAUUUGAGACCAUGUUACCUACAGCUGCGUGGGACUGCAGAACUCACUGUGCCCUUCGAAUGUUCUGCCUGUCUAUCUCACUGACCCUUGGGUUGGGUGACAGCCUUGGAUGGGGCCCGUGCUGUAUUUAUGAUCCCAAAUGGCUUCCCUGGUGGCACAGUGGUUAAGAAUCCACCUGCCAAUGCAGGGGACACAAGUUCGAGCCCUGGUCGGGGAAGAUCCCACAUGCUGCGGAGCAACUAAGCCCGUGUGCCACAGCUACUGAGCCUGCACUCUAGAGCCUGGGAACCACAACUACUGAAGCCGCAAGCCACAACUACUGAAGCCGCAAGCCACAACUACUGAAGCCCGCGAGCCUAGAGCCCAUGCUCUGCAAUGAAGAGUAGCCCCUGCUCGCCGCAACUAAAGAAAGCCCACGCAGAGCAAUGAAGACCCAACGCAGCCAAAGAUAAAUAAAUAAAUGAAUAAAUAAAUAAAUUUAUAUUAAAAAAUUUAAUAAUUGGAGUAGAAUGGAAGAGAAAAAGAAGGUGUUACUAAAUGAAUACAUUAUGUGUAAAAUUACUGGUAAGACUGGUGGAUUUUAAUCAAUAAAAUCUUCAUAAUGAUUUUCUAACAAAUGAGCAUUUACUAAAUAACUAUAAAAUUGCUAUAGUCAGUGUGCCUUUAUGAUAUUAAAGGAAAACUGUCAAAGAGAUAAGAAAUUGUGGAUAUUUACUUUUGUUAUAAUAAGCACACAGAAUCAGCUCUGCUAUUUUGCAGAAUUAAUGCUUAUGUAUGAGAAAAAGUCACAAGAAAUGUCUGU